rnacentral:rRNA from 1 species
GACGAACGCUGGCGGCGCGCCUAACACAUGCAAGUCGAACGAGCGAAGAGGAGCUUGCUUCUCUGAGCGAGUGGCGAACGGGUGAGUAACGCGUGAGGAACCUGCCUCAAAGAGGGGGGACAACAGUUGGAAACGACUGCUAAUACCGCAUAAGCCCACGGGUCGGCAUCGACCAGAGGGAAAAGGAGCAAUCCGCUUUGAGAUGGCCUCGCGUCCGAUUAGCUAGUUGGUGAGGUAAUGGGCCCACCAAGGCGACGAUCGGUAGCCGGACUGAGAGGUUGAACGGCCACAUUGGGACUGAGACACGGCCCAGACUCCUACGGGAGGCAGCAGUGGGGAAUAUUGCACAAUGGGGGAAACCCUGAUGCAGCGACGCCGCGUGGAGGAAGAAGGUCUUCGGAUUGUAAACUCCUGUUGUUGAGGAAGAUAAUGACGGUACUCAACAAGGAAGUGACGGCUAACUACGUG